UCUCUGAGGACGCCGGCCCACCUCCCUCGGGGGUUCCCAGCCGGGCGCCGGGGACGGACCCGCGCGGCCCUCGUCUACACCGCCCCCGGACGCCGGGGUCCGGCCGACAGCGCGGGCUUAGCGGGCAGCGGGCCUCGGACUGGUGCUGUUUGACCGCCUUCCCCUUGAGCUGGCUCCCGACGGGGAGGCAGCAGGUGGACCCGUCUUAAAGGACAGGACGAGUCUGGUGACAGCCCGAGUCGAGGGCUCCCAGGGCUGCCCGGAUCAGGUGGAGCGGUCCUUAGAGCAGACGCGGAAGACAGCCCGCGGCCACGCGGGCCGGGUGGGAGGAGAGGGCGCAGCCCGGAGCUGCAGGGGACAAAGCAGGCCUGCUGGGGCCUUGCCCUUCUCGGUUCUUAUCUUGUGGCCCAGAGGUGGACGGCUGGCUUAAAGAAAGAGGACCAGGCCAGCUCCUCUGUGGAGCUGACAGGCUCCUCCGGCGACCGUCACAGGCAGGGCUGCCAGAUACAACACAGGACACCAGUCAAACCUGAAUUUCAGAUCGACAAGCUGGCUGGCAGUCCUAUCCCAGGCAACAGAGAAGGUCCCACCUUCAGCAUCACACUCCUCAUCAGCUCUCAAUAAAGACCCCCACGAAGGAGGAAAGAUCCACAGGGCUGCAGAGAGAAGCAGGAAUGUGGGAACAGGCAGAAACGUGGUAAAGUAAGCUCCCUCUCCUGCCUCAAACAGCUUGAAGGUCAUGGUGAUGACAGCCCUUUAGAAACUCAACGCAAACGGUCCUUUUCUCCAGACCACAUCCUGGGACACAGGAAGCUCUUGAAAGUCUCAAAGCGGGACGCUGACCCAACCGGACUGCACUUUGAUGAAGACCAAGCCUGCAGCUGAGGAGGAGCGAGGUGAGGAGUGCAGCACAGUGGAGGGGAGCCCGAGGACCGGAAGGCGAGUGAGGGCACUGCUGCGUAAAUCCAGGUGGGAGAAGACAGCGGCACGAACAAAGGCCAUGGGUGACCCUAGGGAGGAGAGACUGGGGUGGACUCUGAAGGGUUAUGGGCGUAGAUUUGGUGACUGACUGGGGAUAAGAAUGGUCCCCAGAUUGAGACUUGGGCAUUUCUUGACUCAAAAUUCUUCUCUGGCUCCCCUUUUUCUACAAAACUUUCAGCUCUUGAGCUUGGCAUCAAGACUCUCAAUGACAUCGUUCCAACUUUCUUUUCUAAUCUUCCUCUCUCUCUCUCUCUUUCUCUCUCAACUUGUACUUGAGCCAUGGUGGUAUGCUGGCGAUUCCCCAGGCAUGCCCUCCCUUUGUCCAGUGUCCUCCUCCAGCCAUCUUCCCAUCCCAUCCUUCAAGCCCCGCUCAAGGCACCUCCUCCAGGAAGCCUUCCCAGGCCCGCCCUUCCCUUCUUCAUUCUGCUCUUUUGGAACUAAGCUCCUCCCCUUGGCUCCAGUAGAACUUUGCUUCUCCGUCUGCUGAAACACUCACCACAUUCUACAUUUUACUUUUUGUAGAAGUGUCUUCUUUUCACUGCAAAGUUAAAGGCUCCUUGAAGGCAGAGACCACAACUGUCUGGGAAGUACAAGGAAUGUUUGUUGAAUUGAAAUGAGCACUCCCUGGGGAGACUAAGAAGGAGACAGAGCCUAUUUUCCAAAGUGAUCGUUCCAAUUUGCUCCCACCAGUGAUGCAUGUAAUUUUGAGUUGCUUCACAUCCUGGAAGAGUCCGUUUCUAAAUCUUAGCCAUCCAGGUCUGCAGUCUCUCCGAGGUUGCCUUUUAUGCACAGUGUGAGAUGUCAUCUAACGACCACCACAAUGGAGAUACCGAAUGUUCCAUCAGACACUCCCCUGGCCCCAGAACUUAAACCAGCAGAGGGAGACAGAUCCCCAGCAGAGCACAGUGGAAAACGUUUUCCAAUUUCCUGCGUCCUCCCGGUGUCCCUGCCUUCUCCACGGUCUCCUGGGCUGAUCUUGCCGCUUCCAGAGCCCUUCCUACUGUCUCCCUCCAACCGAAGCUUAGAUUCGUGAGCUGACUCCUUCGGGCACACAGGGUAGCUUGCUGGCUCAUCUGGCGGAAGAGAGGAGGCCUUCUGAACGCAAGCCCUCCCGGGAAACCGGUUCGCACGUAACAAGGAACUUGGAUGCUGAAACCCAGAGUCUUGAAGAGAGAAUUGUAGACACUGAGGCAGAGGAGAUGUUUGGAAGGGGCUUUCGGUCUGAGACUUUUCCAGAUCCCUCAGCUCACAGCGGCACAGAGGCCUGCACCCUGCUUCCGUUCUGAGAGCGCGUUCCCGCUUCCCAUGCAACCUCAGCAACCUCAGCCUGUGUCUGGGAAGAAGCUGCCCUCGGCCUCUUCCUUCCAGAAAACAGCAGGCUGUUUUGUUGUUUGGUUGUCUCUCACACGUCCAGUUCCUCCAGAGCUUCCGGACCCCUUUUCCUUGGCUCCCGAAGGGAGCACCUGGAAUGUUCACACUCUACCUGGAGAACCGCGCUGUCUCCUCGGGCAUUUCUGCUGCACAGGAGAGAAAAAGCUAGUUCAUUUAAGCCAAAAACUUAAGUAGGGACUGGAUUCAAAAACAAGCCUUUCUCAAAAAAAAACACCUCCUCCUUUGCCUGUGGUUACUAGAGGCAAGUCAUGAGCCUCUUUUGCAGAUAGCGCUUGAAUUAUUGGUCUGGUUCUAACAACUGGCACUUUCCAGCAGGACGUUAGGGAGUGAAGUGUGUGCACCAUGAUAGAAGACGGUUUGGAAGCCACCCUAGACAAGGAGGGCUGAGCCUGCAGGAAGGAAGUUGUGAAGGGUCACCGCCCAGCACGGGACUGCACUUAUUCUCUGCCGCUCCAGAGAGCCAAGCGAGAACCAGCAGCUGGUCUUGGGCAUGCGGCAUAAGGGAAGAUGGUGGGGAAGUGGUCCGUGGAGAAGUGGUGCAGCCAGGGGAAACUAGUGCAGCUGGAGUCUGACUCCAGCAAGGGCUUCUUAGCACCCAAAGCCCGGCCUGAGAGAAUGUGGUAAACAGCAUGAUUCGGGCAGCCACUGGCAUCGAGUGAUCCAACCCAGUGGGUGGGCAAAGCAGCAAGGGAUGCUAGGCAGCAUUUCAGAAGUCCUUCCUCAAGGGACCAUAACAGCUAACGUAGGGAGUGUGGGGGCAGGACGCAACAGGAUGAAGGUAUGGCCCCAGUACCUAAUCACCACCCAAGUUCUGGACAAGGCCCCAGUCACAGGGGGAAGCUGGGGAACAGCACAG
ensembl:lncRNA